rnacentral:rRNA from 1 species
GACGAACGCUGGCGGCGCGCCUAACACAUGCAAGUCGAACGGAGCUUUGAGAGCUUGCUUUUAAAGCUUAGUGGCGGACGGGUGAGUAACGCGUGAGGAACCUGCCUUGGAGUGGGGAAUAACACAGUGAAAAUUGUGCUAAUACCGCAUAAUGCAGUUGGGCCGCAUGGCUCUGACUGCCAAAGAUUUAUCGCUCUGAGAUGGCCUCGCGUCUGAUUAGCUAGUUGGUGAGGUAAAGGCCCACCAAGGCGACGAUCAGUAGCCGACCUGAGAGGGUGAUCGGCCACAUUGGGACUGAGACACGGCCCAA